GGCCACGUUAUUCUCUUCUGUACGUCAUUGUUUCAAGGUAUACCAAAGGAUUUCUUCCCUGACAAAAGCAGUUUACAACCCGAAGGCCUUCUUCCUGCAGCGGCAUUGCUGGAUCAGGCUUGCCCCCAUUGUCCAAAAUUCCCCAC
rnacentral:rRNA from 1 species